rnacentral:rRNA from 1 species
CAAUAGCGUAUAUUAAAGUUGUUGCAGUUAAAAAGCUCGUAGUUGGAUUUCUGGUGGGAGCGAUCGGUCUGGCGCUUAGCGCGAGUACUUGCAUCGUCUCCGGCCAUCCUUGGGGAGAGUCUGUCUGGCAUUAAGUUGUCGGGCAGAGGAUCCUCAUCGUUUACUGUGAAAAAAUUAGAGUGUUCAAAGCAGGCUUAUGCCGUUGAAUAUAUUAGCAUGGAAUAAUAAGAUAGGACUUUGGUACUAUUUUGUUGGUUUGCGCACCAAAGUAAUGAUUAAUAGGGACAGUUGGGGGUAUUCGUAUUCCGUUGUCAGAGUUGAAAUUCUUGGAUUUACGGAAGACGAACUACUGCGAAAGCAUUUACCAAGGAUGUUUUCAUUAA